CCACNACAUCUCGAAAGGGAUGCUAAUACCGCAUACGUCCUACGGGAAGAAAGCAGGGGACCUUCGGGCCUUGCGCUAAUAGAUGAGCCUAAGUCGGAUUAGCUAGUUGGUGGGGUAAAGGCCUACCAAGGCGACGAUCUGUAGCGGGUCUGAGAGGAUGAUCCGCCACACUGGGACUGAGACACGGCCCAGACUCCUACGGGAGGCAGCAGUGGGGAAUAUUGGACAAUGGGGGGAACCCUGAUCCAGCCAUGCCGCGUGUGUGAAGAAGGCCUUUUGGUUGUAAAGCACUUUAAGCGAGGAGGAGGCUACCGAGAUUAAUACUCUUGGAUAGCGGACGUUACUCGCAGAAUAANGCACCGGCUAACUCUGUGCCAGCAGCCGCGGUAAUACAGAGGGUGCAAGCGUUAAUCGGAUUUACUGGGCGUAAAGCGCGCGUAGGUGGCCAAUUAAGUCAAAUGUGAAUCCCCGAGCUUAACUNGGGANUUGCAUUCG
rnacentral:rRNA from 1 species